GGACCUUUAGCUCAGUUGGUUAGAGCAACCGGCUCAUAACCGGUCGGUCCUGGGUUCGAGUCCCUGAAGGUCCA
rnacentral:tRNA from 6 species